rnacentral:rRNA from 1 species
UGAGGAAUUUUGCGCAAUGGGAGCAAUCCUGACGCAGCAACGCCGCGUGGGUGAUGAAGGCCUUCGGGUCGUAAAGCCCUGUCAGGUGGGAAGAAUGUCCCGGGACUGAACAGGUUCCGGGAGUGACGGUACCACCAGAGGAAGCACCGGCUAACUCCGUGCCAGCAGCCGCGGUAAUACGGAGGGUGCAAGCGUUAUUCGGAAUUACUGGGCGUAAAGCGCGUGUAGGCGGCCCUGCAAGUCUGAUGUGAAAGCCCCGGGCUUAACCCGGGAAGUGCAUUGGAAACUGCAUGUCUUGAGUUCUGGGGAGGGUGGGGGAAUUCCCGGUGUAGAGGUGAAAUUCGUAGAGAUCGGGAGGAAUAUCAGUGGCGAAGGCGCCCAUCUGGACGGUAACUGACGCUGAGACGCGAAAGCGUGGGGAGCAAACA